UUUCGCAAUGCCCGAAAGGGUGACGAAGCGACGCCGCGUGAGUGAGGAAGGCCUUCGGGUUGUAAAGCUCUGUCAGGAGUUAAGAAAUAUAAGUGUGCUAAUACCACAUUUAUUUGACGAAGGCUCCAAAGGAAGCCACGGCUAACUCUGUGCCAGCAGCCGCGGUAAUACAGAGGUGGCAAGCGUUGUUCGGAAUUAUUGGGCGUAAAGAGCACGUAGGUGGGUUUGUAAGUCAGAUGUGAAAGCCUUCUGUUCAACGGAAGAAUUGCAUCUGAAACUGCGAGUCUUGAGUGUAGGAGGGGAGAAUGGAACUUCUGGUGGAGCGGUGAAAUGCGUAGAUAUCAGAAGGAACGCCGGCGGCGAAAGCGAUUCUCUGGCCUAUUGCUGACACUCAGUGUGCGAAAGCUAGGGGAGCAAACGGGAUUAGAUACCCCGGUAGUCCUAGCCGUAAACGAUGGGCACUAAGUAGAGGGGUUUUA
rnacentral:rRNA from 1 species